GUGGGGAAUCUUCCGCAAUGGACGAAAGUCUGACGGAGCAACGCCGCGUGAGUGAAGAAGGUUUUCGGAUCGUAAAGCUCUUUCGUUAGGGACGAACGUGCUCUUUGUGAAUAAUGAGGAGUAAUGACGGUACCUAAAUAAGAAGCCACGGCUAACUACGUGCCAGCAGCCGCGGUAAUACGUAGGUGGCAAGCGUUGUCCGGAAUUAUUGGGCGUAAAGCGCGCGCAGGCGGGAUAUCAAGUCUGUCUUAAAAGUGCGAGGCUCAACCUCGUGAGGGGACAGAAACUGGUAUUCUUGAGUGUCGGAGAGGAAAGUGGAAUUCCAAGUGUAGCGGUGAAAUGCGUAGAGAUUUGGAAGAACACCAGUGGCGAAGGCGACUUUCUGGACGAUGUCUGACGCUGAGGCGCGAAAGCUAGGGGAGCGAACGGGAUUAGAACCCCUGUAGUCC
rnacentral:rRNA from 1 species